rnacentral:rRNA from 1 species
GACGAACCGUGCGAACGUUGUUCGGAUUCACUGGGCUUAAAGGGCGCGUAGGCGGACGGUCAAGUCAGGGGUGAAAUCUUUCAGCUCAACUGGAGAACUGCCAUGGAUACUGGGUGUCUCGAGGGUGGUAGGGGUAUGCGGAACUAUCGGUGGAGCGGUGAAAUGCGUUGAUAUCGAUAGGAACUCCGGUGGCGAAGGCGGCAUACUGGACCACAUCUGACGCUGAGGCGCGAAAGCCAGGGGGAGCGAACGGG